rnacentral:RNase_P_RNA from 1 species
CAGGUCGACCGGGUGGUCGCGGUCCGGCGCACUAUGCGCCGGGCUGAGGAAAGUCCGCGCUCCACAGAGCACGGUGCUGGCUAACAGCCAGGCGGGGAAACCCGACGGAAUAGUGCAACAGAGAGGCAGAUUGCCGUCUUCGGGGCUCGCCCCGGAGUUGCGGCGAGGGUGAAACGGUGCGGUAAGAGCGCACCAGCGCGCGUGGUGACACGCGCGGCUAGGCAAACCCCACCGGGAGCAAGGCCAAGCAGGGACGAGGUGUUGCUCGCACCGCUAUCAGUCCCGGGUAGGCUGCUAGAGAUGCGUGGUAACACGCAUUCGAGAUAGAUGACCACCCAGGGGGCAUAUCGCCCCUGGACAGAACGCGGCUUACAGGUUGGCCUGAGCG